CUCUCCUCCAUGUGUCUCGAAAAGGCAGAGGAAACAGUCCUACAAAGACACAGUGUGUCUGCUGUGUUGGAGGGACAGGAAGGAAACCAGUAUGGCUUGAGUGGAGUAAACCAUGGCAAAGUAGGCGCAGGACCAGCAGGAUGGUAUUGCAUGAGCUUGAGUUCAGCUUUGCAGAUUCAUUAUAAGCAGCUGCAUACACAUGGAUGUGCUUACCUGGGCAGAAGGCAAAAGACCCUCUCAAGUAUCUCAAAUGGAUGGAACCAGGGAUAUGGCAGUGUCUACAAGAAGAAACAGAGAGAGCUUCAAAGAAAAGUCUCAUUCCAUAAAGCCCUACUCCAAAACCCAGCGACUGACUAAAUGUUCUUAUUCGGAGCAUGUGAGAGGCUGAGUCCUACUCAGAGUGCUGUUGAAGGCCAUCGCCCAUGUGUGCCCUGCCCUUUGGCUCAUCAUCCAAGCAGUUCAGGCCAGCUUGGCAGCAGCCCACCCCCAUGUCUGCUAAUCAGCAAAGCCCAUUCUCCAGCACAGCCUGCUGCGGGCGGGGACCAGAGAACAAGAAGUCUUCAGACAGGACGGAAAGAGCAGCCCAUGUUGUCAGAGGGGAAACUGCCAGGAAGGCCCAGCUCUCUUUAUAACA